rnacentral:tRNA from 1 species
CUGUUCUUAGUUUAUUUUGAAUAGUAGCUUGUCGUGCUAUUGGUGGGGAGACUCAGAACGGG